rnacentral:rRNA from 1 species
GACGUAGGGCGCAAGCGUUGUCCGGAUUUAUUGGGCGUAAAGAGCUCGUAGGCGGCUCAUCGCGUCUGCCGUGAAAACCCGCAGCUCAACUGCGGGCUUGCGGUUGAUACGGGUGGGCUGGAGUUCGGUAGGGGAGACUGGAAUUCCUGGUGUGAGUGGUGAAAUGCGUAGAGAUCGGGAGGAACACCCGUGGCGAAGGCGGCCUGCUGGGCCGAUCCUGACGCUGAGGCACGAAAGCGUGGGGAGCAAACAGG